rnacentral:rRNA from 1 species
UACGUAGGGAGCAAGCGUUGUUCGGAUUUACUGGGCGUAAAGGGCGCGUAGGCGGCUGAUCAAGUCAGCUGUGAAAUCUCCGAGCUUAACUCGGAACUGUCAGCUGAUACUGUUUUGCUAGAGUGCGGAAGGGGCAAUCGGAAUUCUUGGUGUAGCGGUGAAAUGCGUAGAUAUCAAGAGGAACACCUGAGGUGAAGACGGGUUGCUGGGCCGACACUGACGCUGAGUGCGCGAAAGCCAGGGGAGCAAACGGG